GCGAGUGAAGCGGCAACAGCUCAAAUUUGAAAGCUGGCUCCGGCCCGCAUUGUAAUUUGCAGAGGAUGCUUCUGGCGAGGUGCCUUCCGAGUUCCCUGGAACGGGACGCCAUAGAGGGUGAGAGCCCCGUAUGGAUGGACACCAAGCCUGUGUGAAGCUCCUUCAACGAGUCGAGUAGUUUGGGAAUGCUGCUCAAAAUGGGAGGUAAAUCUCUUCUAAAGCUAAAUAUUGGCCAGAGACCGAUAGCGCACAAGUAGAGUGAUCGAAAGAUGAAAAGCACCUUGAAAAGGGGGUUAAACAGUACGUGAAAUUGUUGAAAGGGAAGCGCUUGUGACCAGACUUGCGCCGGGCGGUUCAUCAGGGGUUCUCCCCUGUGCACUCCGCCCGGCUCAGGCCAGCAUCGGUUCUCGUGGGGGGAUAAGAACGGUGGGAACGUGGCCCCCUCUCGGGGGGGUGUUAUAGCCCGCCGUACGAUACCCUCGUGGGGACCGAGGUUCGCGCUCCGCAAGGAUGCUGGC
rnacentral:rRNA from 1 species